UCCGGCCCCUCACGCGGUGCUAUCUUACUCAACUCCCCCAGGGCAGGAAUGCAGCAAGGGUCGGUAGGCUCUGGCAGGUGCGUGAGGGGUUCUUAGG
rfam:Enteractinococcus sp. TASWS1574 100, whole genome shotgun sequence.